rnacentral:ncRNA from 1 species
GGUGGUAGGCCCACCGUCGACGAUGUACAGGCAAGUCUACAAACCAGUCCAAGGUGCUGCGGGGGUGACCCUGGGGUACUGAGCGUUGGAUGAAAAGGCCGAGCGAAUCGGUCAGGU